UGACCUUAGCUCAGUGGUAGAGCAUGACCUUAGCAUGCACAAGGCCCUGGGUUUGAUCCCUAGCACUGAGGUUAA
rnacentral:tRNA from 1 species